rfam:Halogranum salarium B-1 162.HSB1.1_9, whole genome shotgun sequence.
GCGCCGUUGGUCCAGUGGUAGGACAGAGCCUUCCCAAGGCUCUAGCCCGGGUUCAAUUCCCGGACGGCGCA